UAGGGAAUCUUCCGCAAUGGGCGAAAGCCUGACGGAGCAACGCCGCGUGAGUGAUGAAGGUCUUCGGAUCGUAAAACUCUGUUAUUAGGGAAGAACAAAUGUGUAAGUAACUAUGCACGUCUUGACGGUACCUAAUCAGAAAGCCACGGCUAACUACGUGCCAUCAGCCGCGGUAAUACGUAGGUGGCAAGCGUUAUCCGGAAUUAUUGGGCGUAAAGCGCGCGUAGGCGGUUUUUUAAGUCUGAUGUGAAAGCCCACGGCUCAACCGUGGAGGGUCAUUGGAAACUGGAAAACUUGAGUGCAGAAGAGGAAAGUGGAAUUCCAUGUGUAGCGGUGAAGUGCACAGAGAUAUGGAGGAACACCAGUGGCGAAGGCGACUUUCUGGUCUGUAACUGACGCUGAUGUGCGAAAGCGUGGGGAUCAAACAGG
rnacentral:rRNA from 1 species